AUUGGAUAACAUAUCUAAUUCAACUUCAUUAAACUCCAUUAAACGCAUUGUGAUUUGCGCAUAGAGAUGCUAGCUUCACAGCCUAAAGAGAGAAUUGUUCAGGAUCUGGAAAGAUGAGACCCUUGCUGUCUUUGUUUCCCUCUGUCCCAGCUUCUAAUACUGUGGGCACCUCACAGGAAAAAAUAGAAAAAGAAGACUUGAUCAAGCUCCAGAAUCUUUCCUGGCUAUGGUGAGAGAGUAAUCUAACUAUGGAAAAAUUGCCAGAGACAUGCAACAUUGCUGUCUUGGAGACAGAGGGAGGAGGCCAUGAGAGAAAGAAUAUGAGAG